AUUGCUUGCAAUCCGCUGACGACCGGCGCACGGGUGCGUAACGCGUAUGCAACCUACCUUUUACAGGGGUAUAGUCAAGAGAAAUUUCGAAUAACACCCCAUACGAUCAUUUUUACACCUGUAAAGAUGAAGAAAACUCCGGUGGUAAAAGAUGGGCAUGCGUCCUAUUAGUUAGUUGGUGAGGUAACGGCUCACCAAGACCGCGAUAGGUAGGGGUCCUGAGAGGGAGAUCCCCCACACUGGUACUGAGACACGGACCAGACUCCUACGGGAGGCAGCAGUGAGGAAUAUUGGACAAUGGAGGCAACUCUGAUCCAGCCAUGCCGCGUGCAGGAAGACUGCCCUAUGGGUUGUAAACUGCUUUUAUACAGGAAGAAACCUUGGUACGUGUACCAAGCUGACGGUACUGUAAGAAUAAGGAUCGGCUAACUCCGUGCCAGCAGCCGCGGUAAUACGGAGGAUCCAAGCGUUAUCCGGAAUCAUUGGGUUUAAAGGGUCCGCAGGCGGUCUUUUAAGUCAGAGGUGAAAUCCUAUCGCUCAACGAUAG
rnacentral:rRNA from 1 species